rnacentral:lncRNA from 1 species
CAAAAUUUUAAAUGAGAGGCAGGAAAUGCCAAACUAAAGCUUAAGUUAAUAAAAACACUUUCAAAAACCCCUCUCUCCAAAAAAGAUAAAAAAAAUAAGUUAAAAAAUGGAGAAAUCCAAAAUCAAGUCAGAUAUUUUAGAUAGCAUGGAAAAUCAAGAAACAAAGGAAAUUAAACCCUCACACACGAGACCAUGAUCGACAGUCCAUCUGUGAGUCGACGGUCACUGUGCCCUUCCAUGCUGGACAUCCGUCGUUCUUGUUAGAGACUAUAAAAUUGAGGUUCUUCAUAAAAAAGUCUAAGUUUUGGUCUAAGGUUGGCAAUGACGCCCCGUCUAUCCACACACGGAUAGUCGACUAUGUCUCGUGGUUACACACUGUCCAAGUAGUUGGUCCUUGGGGAGUCGUACUCGGACAUUUAGACCAUGAAUCAUAUUAAAAAUAUGUUAUACACCCUUCCACAUAAUUUCAUGAAUUUCUAACUUCUAAACCUAGUCAAAUAAGCUAAGGUACGCUAGUAGCCCUUAUAACAAGUUUCCGAACGUCAUGGAUGUUCUUGGCUGUUUGGUUCCUAAACUUGCUAAAUGGACUAUAUUAAUUAUAACAAGCCUUAAAAAGUGUUUAGACCCCAUGGCACCUAUGCUAGUAUUCAAGACACAUCUUGAUUUUCGAAAUGUUAGAAAUAGUAACCAUCACAACAUGCGAUACGUCUCUCGAAAUAUACAAUCCAUUACGGGGAGCGAUACGUCCAUCGAAAUGGUACAUCCUCUUUAAGUUCUCAUUCUUUAUCAAUGCACAUAACACUUGUAACAACUAUGUCUCAUUAUAAUGCAAAUGACAUGUUCACACAAAUAAUGAGAAGAUGACCAUUUUCAUAUUUUUGCACAACUCACAGCAACACAAACAUGAUAUCACAUGAAAAACGAUUCAACAAGCCUUCAAACCUUAUCAAGACAUCACACAUAAAUAAUUAAUCACACUGCUUUUUGUUACCCCUUUUUCAUCCUUAAAAUUCAUCAAUGUGGAAAAAUCAACACAUCACAAAAUGCCAUUUUUCCCAAACAAAUACCAAAAUGAAAUACAUGCAUUCCAUACACUUAACAUGAGUUUAGAAAUCCACUUGCCUGAAAUAGUCGAACAAUGACUCCAGAACUUGAAUCUUCCUCUUUCAGUUAACUUCCAAACCAAUAAAAUCUAUUCAAAUAAAGAUUUCAAAAUUAUAAACACCUACAUCACAAUAGAUAUGUCUAGCCUAGACCUAAAACCUAACCCCAAAUCGAUAAUCAAGAUUCAAAAUAUUGAUUCCAAGCAAUAGGUCUAAUAUAAUCUUUCACAUAUUUACUAUCUAGGGUUAAGUCAUAAUUUCUCGAAACACUAUAACCCUAAUAGUUUUCAUAUAAUAUAAUACACUCAACAUUUACUUAGUAAUCUUAAUAUUCCAAAGCUUGAGUCAUAAUAUGAAAAUUAUAGAAAAUGCCUAAAUUUCAUGAUAAGUCAUGCCACAAGGAACCUACGCCAUGAAACAGUAGCAAAAUUCCAACAAUUUGCAGCCAUUGAUUAAUCCAUCAUUUUUAUUAUUAAUAUUUUUUUAUAGUCCUCAAUAAUUGACCUUAAAUUCCAAUUCAAGUUUUAGUUAGCAGCCCUUAAUACUCGUAUAAAAACAAAACUAAAGUUUCACCAAAUACAAUAAUAUGUUGAACAUAUAUAUACAUACAAACUAACACCUAGCAUAACUAUGUUACGAUAUGGAUAUAUUUUUAUUUUUUAUUUUUACCUGAAGCAAUCACGAAAGAAUUAUGGUCUUCUCUUCUGGUGGUCACCGCAUGGUCAUCCUUUCGCUCAGAAGGUGUUAUAUUUCCCUUGCACAAUUUAUGAUUUACAAUUAUUAAAUCUUACUAAAUUAUUUCAAUAUAU